rnacentral:rRNA from 1 species
AACGAACGCUGGCGGCAUGCCUAACACAUGCAAGUCGAACGAGACCUUCGGGUCUAGUGGCGCACGGGUGCGUAACGCGUGGGAACCUGCCCUUAGGUUCGGAAUAACUUCCCGAAAGGGGUGCUAAUACCGGAUAAUGUCUUCGGACCAAAGUGUUAUCGCCUUUGGAUGGGCCCGCGUUGGAUUAGCUAGUUGGUAGGGUAAAAGCCUACCAAGGCUACGAUCCAUAGCUGGCCUGAGAGGAUGAUCAGCCACACUGGGACUGAGACACGGCACAGACUCCGGCGGGAGGAAGCAGUGGGGAAUAUUGGACGAUCGGGGAAAGCCUGAUCCAGCAAUGCCGGGUGAGUGAUGAAGGCCUGAAGGUUGUAAAGCUCUUGUACCCGAGAAGAUAAUGACAGUACCGAGAGAAUAAGCUCCGGCUAACUCCGUG